CACGUAGGGGCCAAGCGUUGUCCGGAUUUAUUGGGCGUAAAGAGCUCGUAGGCGGUUCAGCAAGUCGGGUGUGAAAACUCUGGGCUCAACCCAGAGACGCCACCCGAUACUGCUGUGACUAGAGUCCGGUAGGGGAGUGGGGAAUUCCUGGUGUAGCGGUGAAAUGCACAGAUAUCAGGAGGAACACCGGUGGCGAAGGCGGCAUCCUGGACCGGUAUUGACGCUGAGGCGCGAAAGCUAGGGGAGCAAACGGG
rnacentral:rRNA from 1 species